rnacentral:lncRNA from 1 species
UCACGUUCAACAGCAGCUUCGUCAACUUCGGCCUCGCAUCCGGUAAGACGGAAGUAGUCCUCUCUGAGAAUAGGUCGGGCAGCGUCUUCGGCCGCCUCAGAUCAGACGGAGCCACCGUCGGGAAUUUCCCGUGAAACGACGACGCCUUUUCAGAUAACUUACCCUUCCGGUUCUUCUCCUGCUCCUUACGAUUAUUUUUGGAAUUCGGCAUCUUCCAAGUGUCGUAUUAUACAAUAAUUCAAACGAGAAAUAUAAAGAAGAAAAUAAAAAAAAGUAAUAAAUGAACUUCUCUUCUCCGUUUUUUUUUCUUUGUUGG